UACGGAGGGUGCAAGCGUUAUCCGGAUUCACUGGGUUUAAAGGGUGCGUAGGCGGGCAGGUAAGUCCGUGGUGAAAUCUCUGAGCUUAACUCAGAAACUGCCAUGGAUACUAUUUGUCUUGAAUACUGUGGAGGUGAGCGGAAUAUGUCAUGUAGCGGUGAAAAUGCUUAGAUAUGACAUAGAACACCAAUUGCGAAAGGCAGCUCACUACACAAUUAUUGACGCUGAGGCACGAAAGCGUGGGGAGUCAAACAGGAA
rnacentral:rRNA from 1 species